GUUACAUCUGGAGAUGCCCAGGGCAAUCUUCCAAGGCCACUGUGGCAGGAAGGAAACAAGGCACAGGCCACAGAAAGCCUCCCUAGUGACCAUUGUACAUAGGAAGGCCUUCACUAACCCACCCUGGUGGGCACUGUCCAUGCAGCUACGCCCCAAGCCAGGCUGCUCUAAACACCGAGGGACACGAGGCUUGGGGUCGGCCAGCCUGGACAGUCUGGCUACGGUAGCCUGAGCUGGUGGCUGGGGGUCGGAGUUGCUUCUAAUGUUUCAUCUUCUUGGCGUUUGGAACUGUCAGAUCACCUCCAAGGAAGCGUGACUCUCCUGCGGGAAACGCCUUCCCUCUUGACUUUGCCUCGAGGACUCCUACGCAUCCCUCAAAACCCCACUCCAAUAUACAGCCUUCUCUGACCACCUCUCCAGUGAGUCGGGACCCCUCCUUUGGGGUCCCACAGCCCUGUUCUCCCGCUCCUGUGCAGUGUUUGUGAAGCGUGGAUUUGUGGGUGAAUGUGUUCCUAGGGAUCUCCACAUCUCUCUGGUCACCCAACCAAGGACAGCAGUCCACCACUGACUGAGAGGGCCUCUGCUGGAACAUGAGGUCAAAGUCAGCUUCUGGUGACAUUCUACAUCCUGUGACAUCUGACCCGUGGCAGGUAGCUUCCAGCAGAAUAGUGUGUAGGAGAUGCAGGCAAAGAGUCUACAAGUCCCCUUUUAAUUGAUUUUUUCUUGUGCUAAGAUAUACAUAACAGAAUUUACCCUCUUAACCUUUGGGUCUGGGUUUGUGUCAGGGGGUCUGGCUGUGUGGCCCAGGAUGGCUUCAAACUCCUGGGCUCAGGCGGUGCUCCUGCCUCAGCCUCCGGAGUAGCUGAGACUGUUACCCAAACUCAGGCUCCGGGGGCAGAGGUGUAGGGAUGAGCCCAGAUCUGGAAGGAACUUAGGCACAAUGGCUUCCUGGGGACUUCUGCUCAAGCCAGAGGGGAGACGGCAUAAGGGCCCAGAGAGCCCCGGCUGACAGCAGCCAGCGACAAAGUGGGGCGGCUUUAAGGGCAUCUCUGGGCUUGGCAGGAACUCAGUCCCUUGAUGUCAUCCCGUGCAGAGGCAGGACCUGGGUUGUGCCUGUGCUCUUUGUCACCUGUCUUCAUGCCCCGAGUGGUCGGCUGUGCAUUGGUUAUGCUAAUAAGGUGAAUGUCACCGUGGCUGGCUUAGGUGACCUCAUAAGCAUUUGCCACCUGCCUCCUGGCAUCGGCCCUAUCAUCCGGGAAAGUCUCUGACCUUGUGUUUAGCAGAACAGUGGCGACCCCACUGGGGGUCCCAGCUGGCAUCCCGCUGACCACACAGAAUCCGAAGCUGUGCUGGGCUCCCGGCUGCCCCCUCCUGGGCUCCCUCCCACCACCUUGAAGACUGCUCUCUCGGCUCCGGAUUUUCUGGUGUGGCUGCUCACCCCAUAAGACUGAGUGCUGGCUGUCUGCUCUCUGUCCCCUGAGGGGGUUUGUCCCUUACUCCUCAGAGGCCCUGCUUUCUGUGGGGGUCCCUGACUACCAGGACUGCAGGCGGGCGCCCCUCUUCACCAUUUUUAAUUGUACAGUUCAGGAGCAGCAAGUGCCUUCAUCUCCCCCUGAGACCCACGCAAAGCUGAAAGCCCAGAUCCCUUAAAGGACAACUCCUCCCCCGUCCCUCCCGCCCUGGCACCUGCCGCUCUGCUUCCCGUCUCUAUGAAUUCGGAAUUCGACAGCUCUAGCUACUCGCUAUAACUGGAACCCUACAGCAUCUGUCUUUUUGUGACUGUGUCCUUAAGGUCCCUUCAUGUUGCAGCAUGUGUCCGGAUUUCCUUCCUCUUCAGGGAUGAGUAAUAUUCCACGGUGUGUAGGUACCGCUGCGUUCAUCCUGUCAUCUGCUGACGGACACGGGUUGCGUCUGCACGUUGGCUGUCGUGAGGAAGGCUGCGGUGUACCCCGCUUCCGAUUCUUCCAGGUUCACGCCUGGAAGUGGAACGGCGGGGUCAUCUGGCUGUGGGGCGUGUCCUUCUCUGCGGCAGCACCACCCCGACUUCCACCUUUCACAUUCCCCGGGCGACGCACGAGGCUCCGACUCCUCCCUCCUCCCAGCUGCCUGUUUUCUGAGGUGCUUUGUGGGGGUUCCUUUGUUUGGCGUGGAGCUGCCAAGUCCUUUUAAUUCAGAUGUCUAGGACCUUUGCCCCUGACCGGGCCACCCGAGGCCCUGGAUCCCUCCGCCUCCCUCCUCCCCUCCCGCCCCAGGUUCUGCCUGUCGCCUUCCAAGCGCAGCAGAGGCCGCCAGACGUAGAGAAAGGGCGGCCAGGCUCAUCACCCCGAGGAGGGACCCGCGGGCUGUGCACCGCCUUCCCCGUCCGCCCUCGGUGUCACCUCAUAGCUCACCUCGCAGCUGGUGCCAGGGCCCGGGGCCCUCAGCCCCAGGAGGAGGAACGUUCUGGACUCUCCUGGCCUUGGGCUGCCUGUCUCGGUUACCAAGCCGCCCAGUGAGCCUCGGGCCCUUUGCUGUGGCAUCUCUUCACCCUUUCCUCC
rnacentral:lncRNA from 1 species